rnacentral:rRNA from 1 species
GACGAACGCUGGCGGCGUGCCUAAUACAUGCCAGUCGAACGAACCGCGACUAGGUGCUUGCACUUGGUCAAGGUGAGUGGCGAACGGGUGAGUAACACGUGGGUAACCUACCUCAUAGUGGGGGAUAACAGUCGGAAACGACUGCUAAUACCGCAUAGGACAUAGGAUCACAUGAUCCAGUGAGGAAAGGUGGCGCAAGCUAUCGCUACGAGAUGGACCCGCGGUGCAUUAGCUAGUUGGUAGGGUAAAGGCCUACCAAGGCGAUGAUGCAUAGCCGACCUGAGAGGGUGAUCGGCCACAUUGGGACUGAGACACGGCCCAAACUCCUACGGGAGGCAGCAGUAGGGAAUCUUCCGCAAUGGACGCAAGUCUGACGGAGCAACGCCGCGUGAGUGAAGAAGGUCUUCGGAUCGUAAAGCUCUGUUGUUAGAGAAGGACAGCGCAUAGAGUAACUGUUAUGCGUGUGACGGUAUCUAACCAGAAAGCCACGGCUAACUACGUG